GGCAGUGAGACCACGGGGGAUGAGCUUCGUUGGUCGAAAGGGAAACAGCCCAGAUCAUCAGCUAAGGCCCCUAAUUCUGUACUAAGUGGAAAACGAUGUGAAAUUGCAUAGACAGCCAGGAGGUUGGCUCAGAAGCAGCCACCCUUAAAAGAGUGCGUAACAGCUCACUGGUCGAGUGAUUUUGCGCGGACAAUUCAACGGGGCUCAAGUACAGAGCCGAAGCUACGGGAUUCAUCGCAAGAUGGAUCGGUAGAGGAGCGUUGAUGGUGCAUUGAAGCGGCGGGAUGACCCGACGUGGAGUUCCAUCAAGUGAGAAUGCAGGCAUGAGUAGCGAGAGAGGGGUGAGAAACCCCUCCGCCGUAAAUCCAAGGUUUCCUGGGGAAGGCUAAUCCUCCCAGGGUAAGUCGGGAGCUAAGGUGAGGCCGAAAGGCGUAAUCGAUGCACAACUGGUUGAUAUUCCAGUACCACCGUGUUCGCGUCAAGUCCAAUAUUGGUGACGUGGGGGCUGCCUUCGGGCGAACCCACCUAGCUGGUGGCGGAUAACUAAUGGAGGACGCAGAAGGGUAGGUUAACCGGGGCAAUGGUAGUCCCCGGGUAAGCGAGUAGGGCGAUUCGAUGAAAGUUGAGUCAUAAAGCCUGAGACGUGAUGCCGAGUCGUUUAGACGAAGUAACUGAUCCCACACUGCCAAGAAAAGUCCAGUAGUGAGUUAACACGGUGCCCGUACCCCAAACCGACACAGGUGGAUGAGUAGAGAAUACUAAGGCGAUCGGGAGAACUAUGGUUAAGGAACUCGGCAAAUUACAUCCGUAACUUCGGGAGAAGGAUGACCCUAUUAGGGUGAUGGACUUCGCGUCCUGAGCUCGAGAGGGUGGCACAGACCAGGGGGUAGCGACUGUUUACCAAAAACACAGCAGCGUGCCAAGCCGCAAGGCGCAGUAUACGCUGUGACGCCUGCCCAAUGCUGGAAGGUUACGGGGAACGGUUAGCUGUAAAGCGAAGCUGUGAACCUAAGCCCCAGUGAAUGGCGGCCGUAACUAUAACGGUCCUAAGGUAGCGAAAUUCCUUGUCGGGUAAGUUCCGACCUGCACGAAUGGCGUAACGACUUCCCCGCUGUCUCAACCAUAGACCCGGCGAAAUUGAAGUACGAGUAAAGAUGCUCGUUAGCUGCGGAAGGACGAAAAGACCCCGUGGACCUUUACUAUAACUUGGUGUUGAGUUUUGAACUGCGUUGUGUAGGAUAGGUGGGAGGCUAUGAAGUGGAGGCGCUAGCUUUCAUGGAGCCAUUGGUGAAAUACCACCCUGCGUAUUUCGGGACUCUAACCUUGGUCCGUUAUCCGGAUCAGGAACAGCGCCAGGCGGGUAGUUUGACUGGGGCGGUCGCCUCCUAAACUGUAACGGAGGCGCCCAAAGGUUCCCUCAGGCUGGUUGGCAAUCAGCCGUCGAGUGCAAUGACACAAGGGAGCUUGACUGCGAGACUGACAGGUCGAGCAGGUACGAAAGUAGGGCAUAGUGACCCGGCCAUUGCGUGUGGAAGCGUGGUCGCUCAACGGAUAAAAGGUACCCCGGGGAUAACAGGCUAAUCUUCCCCAAGAGUCCAUAUCGACGGGAAGGUUUGGCACCUCGAUGUCGGCUCAUCGCAUCCUGGGGCUGAAGCAGGUCCCAAGGGUUGGGCUGUUCGCCCAUU
rnacentral:rRNA from 1 species